GCCGAAGUGGUGGAAUUGGCAUACACGUACGACUCAAAAUCGUAUGGGCUUCGCCCGUGUGGGUUCGACUCCCACCUUCGGCACCA
rnacentral:tRNA from 1 species